AUGGUCUUUGGUGAGAUCACCACCAAGGCCAAUGUGGACUAUGAAAAGAUUGUACGUGACACAUGCCGAAACAUCGGAUUCAUCUCCGACGAUGUUGGUCUUGAUGCUGACAAUUGCAAGGUCCUGGUUAACAUUGAGCAGCAGAGCCCAGAUAUUGCUCAGGGUGUUCACGGCCACUUCACAAAGCGCCCUGAGGAGAUUGGCGCUGGUGACCAAGGCCAUAUGUUUGGCUAUGCCACUGAUGAGACCCCUGAA
rnacentral:misc_RNA from 1 species